CCCUCAGAUGUUCUGGGCCGCACGUGUGUUACAAUGACACAAACAGAAAGUAUUAAAACCUUGGUAGAUAUAUCUAGGUAAUCUGUAAAUUGUCUAGCUGUAAUGCACUUGUGCUAUAACUAAUUAGGGACUGACGAUUGAAAUUUUUCGUCACGAACCAGGAAUUCCUUGUAAGUACGCGUCAUCAUCGCGUGCUGAAUACGUCCCUGCCCUUUGUACACACCGCCCGUCGCUCCUACCGAUUGGGUGAUCCGAUGAAGUGCAUGGAGUACCUGAGCUUAUGCUUGUGGUGCGAAGUGAGCUGAAUCUUAUCAUUUAGAGGAAGGAGAAGUCGUAACA
rnacentral:rRNA from 1 species